GCAGCGACGCCACGUGGAGGAUGAAGCCCCUAGGGGUGUAAACUCCUGUCAGGAGGGAAGAACGCGGGCAUAUCUUGCCCGUUUGACGGUACCUCCAGAGGAAGCUCCGGCUAACUCUGUGCCAGCAGCCGCGGUAAUACAGAGGGAGCAAGCGUUGUUCGGAUUUACUGGGCGUAAAGGGCGCGCAGGCGGGUGAAUAAGUCGGACGUGAAAAUUGCAGGCUCAACCUGCAACCUGCGUCCGAAACUGUUCACCUUGAGUACAGGAGAGGUGAGUGGAAUCGGCAGUGUAGCGGUGAAAUGCGUAGAUAUUGUCGAGAACACCGGUGGCGAAGGCGGCUCACUGGCCUGAUACUGACGCUGAGGCGCGAAAGCUAGGGGAGCGAACAGGAUUAGAUACCCUGGUAGUCCUAGCCGUAAACGAUGGGUACUAGGUGUAGGAGGUAUU
rnacentral:rRNA from 1 species